rnacentral:rRNA from 1 species
AGCGAACGCUGGCGGCAGGCCUAACACAUGCAAGUCGAACGAACCUGUCCGGGUUUGGGGCGGACGGGGGAUGACCACGGGGUAACGUACAUGUAGGUUCGGUGUAACUGAGUGAAACAUAUGUUAAGAACGAAUGUGCCCUUCGGGGGUAGGAUCUCUCGCUUCUUGAGCGGCCGGGGUCUGAUUCGCUAGUUGGUGAUGGUCAUGGCUCAGCAAGGCGACGUUGAGUAGCUGGUCUGUGAGGAUGAUUUGCCACAUUGGGAAUGAGACACGGCCUAAACUCCUACGGAAGGGUGCAGAGGGGUAUCUUGCGGAAGGGGGGAAGGUCUAACGCAGCCAUGCCGGGGGAAUGAUGAAGGUCUUAGGAUUGUAAAAUUCUUUCACCGGGGACGAUAAUGACGGUACCCGGAGAAGAAGCCCCGGCUAACUUCGUG